UUUCAACACCCGGCUGGCUUGCACGUUAUCUGGAAGUUUUAUUAAGCCGCCAGUUCCCGCCCCUACCCUUUCAGGUGCCUUGAUCGCCGCGCACCGGAUGGAAGCAAAUAGCCGACCUCUGGUCUCCAGAUAAGCAUUCUUCCCUUCCUUUCGGUAAUGAACAUCUUUUGAAACCUAGCAUAAACUGAAAACCCACGACCUAGUCAAUAAAAAAAUGUCGAAAUCAGCGGUAGCUUCAUCAAGAAUUUUACUUUGUUGCUUCUCAAGUGGUCAUGUAUGGAUGUGAGAGUUGGACUGUGAAGAAAGCUGAGCACCGGAAAAUUGAUGCUUUUGAACUGUAGUGUUGGAGAAGACUCUUGAGAGUCCCUUGGACUGCAAGGAGAUUCAACCAGUCCAUCCUAAAGGAGAUCAGUCCUGGGUGUUCAUUGGAAGGACUGAUGCUGAAGUGGAAACUCCAGCACUUUGGCCACCUGAUGCGAAGAGUUGACUCAUUGGAAAAGACCCUGAUGCUGGGAGGGAUUGGGGGCAGGAGGAGGAGGGGACGACACAGGAUGAGAUGGCUGGAUGGCAUCACCGACUCCAUGGGCAUGAGUUUGAGUCAACUCCGGGAGUUGGUGAUGGACAGGGAGACCUGGCGUGCUGCAAUUCAUGGGGUCGCACAGAGUCGGACACGCCUGAGCGACUGAACUGAACUGAACUGAAGGAUAUGAAAAUGUGUAAGAUACUGCUUUGACCCCAGCAGACUUUGUGUAUCAACUUUUUAAAAUCCUUACAACUCUGGAGAAUAAGAACUCUGAUUAUCCCAGUUGUCCAGGAGGGGGAAAUUGAGUCAUAUAGAUAUUAUGUAACUUACUUGUAUUAGUCAGUGUUCUGCAGAGAAACAAAACCAAUUGGAGUUACACACACACACACACACACAUAUAUAUAUAUAUAUAUAUAUAUAUGUAUAUGAAAGAAAUGUUUUAUAAAGAAUGAGCUUAUAUAAUUAUGGAGGCUGAAAAGUCUCCAGAUCGGCAGUUUGAAGGCCCAAGAAGCAAUGUUGUGUUCCAGUCCAAGUGCAAAGGCCUGAUUCAACUUUAUAUUCUUUCCAUCGUUAUUCUAAUCCCCUAAUAUCCAUUUCCAUACUUGUUCCCAAGAUUUCUGUCUGUAACAGUUAUAAGACUCAAGGAGUUCAUUUGAAGUGUUGUGCACACCCUCAUAAAUUAGGUAAUUUCCAGUUCAUGAUGGGCAGCUCAAGUCUCAUGGUAAUUUGGUGGCCCAUCGGUAAGCAUUCAGUCUCUAUUGAAGUCCAGUAGUAGGCCAAGAGCUAUUUCCCAAAAGGAGAGUAGUAAUCUAUAGAAAAUGUCAGGGCUUUGCUCUGAAGUCCUAAGGGUUUGCCUGUGGUUCAGUCGGAGACUAGCUGCAUCCCCCGCUAUGACUGACAUGUGGAGCAUCUUUGGAUCUGCCAGGUCCUAUGGCCCGUGUGCUGGAGCAGCUUGCACAGCUGUCUGGACUUGUUGCGGAGCUUUCCCUUAUGCUGGGUCUCAUUCAAAAUUCACGGCUUUUUGAGUCACUUGAUGUGAAGACUGAAAUUCCUGCAGCUUUCCUGGACCAUGGAGUACCAUUCUCAAGAGAGAACAUGUUAGAAACAACAAGCCAAUCAGCUGAAGGGAAGCCUGGGACUGGGACUGGGCCGGACACAGAAUUCCUUGUACUGAAGUUAACUCUCCGUGCUGCUAGAUAGUUUUGUUAAAGACUGAGGAAUCCAGACUCUGGGAGAUGUAUUUUAAUGAUUCUAAUUACCUUAGCUGAAUAAAUUAAAAACAAUUGUAUUUUUAUAAACAUCUCCAACAUUUUAGCUAUUCAUAAAGACUAUCAUUCUAAUAUAGCAAAUUAAUUUCUCUAGUGACCUAAGGUGUAUUUCAUAACUAGUUACUCUUAUAGCAGAGUUUUCAAGCCAUGUUUCAUGAAGAUCUUAGGCCUGGCCUUAAGAGAGGGUGAAGACCAACCCCUCCACCUCCUCUUUAGCUGAAAUGAUUUUACUUUACCUGUACUGGAAAUCAAGAUAAGAUUCA